rnacentral:rRNA from 1 species
CCCGAAAUAUUAUGAGCUAUCUAUAAAUUGUUAAGAACCCCCUUCAUCUUGUGGCAAUAAGAUUAAAAAAUUUAUAGGCAGAAGCUACAUACCAACCGCAUAAUAUAAUAGCUGGUUUCUCUAUAAAGUUAUAUAAGUAACAAAAAUAUAUGCACACAUAUAUUAUUCUAAUAUAUAGAGGAUAAGCUCUAUAUAAAAAUCUAUCUUUUAAAAAUUGAAUCUAAAAUGUAGGCUUAAUAAUAGCCACCUAUAAAAAUGUUAUAAUAUAUAAACAAAUAAAAUAAAAAAAAAAAUGAUUAUUUAUAAAGAAAACUAUACAAACACAAUUUAAAGAACUAAAAUGUUAAAACUAGUAUUAAUAAGUCCAUAAAUAUAAAUUACCCUUAUAUACGACAAAGGAACUCGGCAAACCCUUAUUUCGACUGUUUAUCAAAAACAUAGCCUCAUGAAACCAAUAUGAGGUAUUUCCUGCCCGGUGAAUCUUAAACGGCCGCAGUACCCUGACUGUGCAAAGGUAGCAUAAUCAUUUGCCUUUUAAUUGAAGGCUGGAAUGAAUGGAUCUACGUAAAUAAAGCUGUCUCUGUCUUACAAAUAUAAACUAGAUUUCAAGUGAAAAUACUUGAAUAAAAAUAAAGGACAAAAAGACCCUAUAGAGCUGUAUUCACAAAAACACAUAAAGCACAACACACUUAAUAUAUUUUUAAUGAAUUUUGUUGGGGCGACAAAGGAAUAUAUAAAUCUUCCUUAAAUAAAAAGAAAACAAUUCUUACAAGAGAUCCUAAAAAGAUCAAAGAAAAAAGCUACCUUAGGGAUAACAGACUAAUCUCCUUAAAGAGUUCAAAUUGACAAGGAGGAUUGGCACCUCGAUGUUGGCUUAAGAUAUCCUUUAGGUGCAGAAGCCUAAAAAGGUUGGUUUGUUCAACCAUUAAAAUCUUACAUGAGCUGAGUUCAGACCGGCGAAAGCCAGGUUAGUUUCUAUCCUUAUUUAAACACAACACUUACUGAGUAGUACGAAAGGACCCU